AGCUCAUCUAGGAGAUCAAGCAAGCAGGAGAGGUGCCGUAAGUGUGUGAGUGAGACCCCGCAGGAGCAGUGUGCGGCCCACAGACACCCGCCAGGCGGCCAGGGUCCCACCCAUGACCUCCCUAGAGGCGUGAGGCCCCAGGCCUGAAGGCGGAGAUGGGAGGAAGAUCUUGGUGAAGGCCCCAGUCAGGAGCAAGGAGCCCCGGGAGUCCCGGGACCGGCACUAAUGACUGGCCAGUCAAAGGCAAUCGCCACUCCUCCCACGGCCUCGACAUCCCAACUGUGGCAGGCUCUCCAGCCUGCUUUGCUACUCUUUUAGAAAACACACGUCCUCAAAAGAUCUCAGCAAACCCCCUGGCGGUUUAACCAUCUCACAGCUACCUGCCCCAUGCAUGUGUUCGUUCCUUUGGGCGUUCAUUCAUGUAUUACUCGUGCACUGAGCACAUACUAUGUGCCAAGCGCAGCGCUGACACUGGGAAGCAAAACUGAACAGAUGUGCCCCUGCCUUCAAGGAGAGUCAUGUCGGGGGGUGCAGAGGGAGGAUCUUAAUACAAGGGCCCACAUAACGGGAUGAGCGGAAAAGUGUUGAGGGCCUUUGGAGAAGCCCAGGAGUUGGGAGGGACCAGAGUAGGGAGACAGCAGGGAGCACCCGAUGGAAGAGGUACCAUGUGAUCUGGGUCCUGCAGGAGGAAAGGGUUUGAGGAUGGAGAGGAAGGGAUUUUCCAUGGAAGGACUGCUGGAAACGAAGCAGGGACAGGAGGAGAUGCGAGUAAGAGGAAGCAGCCAGGGGAGGGCCCGCGAGACAAGGUCAGCACAGCAGGCUGGGGAGGCUGAAGUAUCAGCCCGAGAGGCUGGAUUUUAUCGCGUUAGCAGUAGGGAGCCAUGGAAGGUGUUAGAAGAGCAGUGCAGUGACUUAAUUAACACUGUGUUUUAGACCCAAUGAGGCAGCAUCGGUAUGGCAAAGAGCCCACAUCUCAAGUCUGACAGACCCACAGAUGUUUCUUCAGAGCUGGGCCAUCCCCACUGACUCCUUUCUAAGGAUUUCUGACUUUGACAGCACGUGCUCUGCCAGCCUUUGUCACCGUGCUGGCCUCUCCGUCCCUGUCCAGAGGACACGAGGCAGCAGAUGCUCUUUCCCCACACCUCGGAGCCAGAUGAAGAGAAGAGAAAGAUCCUGUCUCUUCUCCUGCAUGCUUUACAACCUCAAGGUCGGAGCAGCAUUAACACCCAGAGAAAAACUUUCUACCCAAACGGUAAUAAUAGCCAGAACUUGAAAUUCAAGCUCAUAGACCCAGAUUCCACACAUAAUGGACAUGGCUGGAAUGAGCUCAUAAUCACCCCGAGGGGUGGUGUAGGAAGUCACGGACAAGGCGGGAAGGAUCAGAGGCUUGGAAACAAGCAAAUGCGCUACUGAUCUUGAGGAAAGGAUGAGCGAGUGUUUCUGGAAAUUGCCAUCUGGUGGGCCUGACACUGGUUCUUAGAAAAUUAAUGGAACAGAUGUUAGGAAAACAAAUGUGUGAAUGCCGGCUAAUGAAGCCCUGCUUAAUAACUGGCUUCGAAAGAACAAAUAUUGCCAACUAUUCCCUAAAUCAUUGCAGAUAGAACCAGAAAGAGGCACCAGCGUGAGCAGUUUAAUUUUUAAGUUUGCCCGUUUGAAACCCUCUGGACCUGGGUAGGUUCCUCAGACUGGCCACCCUCUCAAGUACUCGCACGCUUGGUUCCUGAAGGACCUGUCAUCAGUGUGGCUUCAGUUAUAAUAGCACCUCCAGCAGCUGCUGAAAGGGGGCAUAAAGCGUAUGUCCACACGACGUGCACACUGCUGUGGAAAAGAAGAUGGAACAGAAGAUGGCGCAUGCCAGUGAGGAGAGUCAGAGGGGGGUCAAGACAGUAGGAAGCCAGGACACGCGGGCAGCGAUGAGCUAAGAGGGUCUUUAGCACACCCUUGUAACCAUCCCUCCUUUGCUUCUUCCAGCCCAUCAAUCAGAUAUCUGUUCCCUACGACGGACUCCUCUUGGUGGGAACUUCAAGGAGAUUUCGAGAAGGAGGUGGAAGGGUCAUUUUUUAUCACUGGGAUCUACAGGUUUCUAGCAGAGAGCUCUUAUUAACUCAUCUGACCCUCGAACAAUCCUCGAGGAGGACGAGAAGUCAAAUUGACCAUGUUACAAAUGAGAGCGGCACCUGGGUGGCUCAGUCGGUUGAGCGCCUGACUUCGGUUCGGGUCACGAUCUCAUGUUCAUGAGUUCGAGCCCCACGUCGGGCUCACUGCUGUCGGAGCAGAGCCCGCUUUGGAUCCUCCUGUCUCCCUCUCUCUCUCUCUCUCUUUCAAAUAAAAUUUU